CUUUUCUCCAUUUUAUGCAAAAAUGUCUUUGUAUGAAAGUAUUGCACUUUGUGUAUAAGAAACUGUGAAACAGUGUAACAAUGUUAAACUAGUAAAGAACUAAAAGCAUAGGGGACAAAUUAUUUAUAGUAACUGCUUGGAUACAGGGAAUGUGAACCAAAACCUGACCUACAACCCAGCACCUGACAGCUUCACAAACACUUCAUAAUCCACCAUAUAUUUCUAUCUGGCACUGCAUUAAAACAAAAAAGAACCAUAUGUAUGUGUAGACUCAUCUGUUCUUUUUUCAGUGAAUUCGUAUGUCUUGAAGAGAUCACAAGGGAAGCAGAGGGAGUUCAUACAUCUAAAUACGUUUUAGGUUGAGGUUAUAUUCUAUGUUAUGUUAUCGGAGAGAGAUCAGAAGUGUUGCCUGAUUAUAUGUGAUUUGGAGUUGGAAACCAGGCCUAUUCAAUGUACAAGUUAUUUGUACUCUUGAUCAGGGUAGAUAGAUAACCAUCAUUACAGUCCACCCCAGAGUAGAUAUAGCUUCUCUACUACCUGUUAUUGUCACUCAAAUGAUUUUCUAAAUUAGAUUAUAGAUAUUCUUGGUCAAAGACAUAUUUUGUUUGUUUUUCGUUUGUUUUCCCAGGGAAUUCUGUGGUCAGUGUUAUACAGUGGAUGAGACAAUGCAUAAUGAGAAGUGACCCUACUACGAGCCUGUCCAGUUCACCUAGGAAGGAGCUGUUAUUACAUGUACUAAAAAGCCUCUGUGACCACUUAUUUUUCAGACUGAGAAACUGAAGAAAGCCAACAUCAUCCUUAAACUUACAUUACAGAAACCAUCAAUCGUCAAACACAGUUAAGCUGUAUGUAUUGAAGUUGCAACUGAACUUGACUUUACCUACUCAAGUAGUUGGGCAAAUCCGAUUUUCCCAUACCAUGUCUACAUUAAAUCCAAAGCAUAGGUAAAAUGUUAACAUCAUUGGAAAUGAAGACUUGAAGGGGCCUGCAUGCAUAUUUGAGCUUCAUGCAGAGGAAGGGUGCUGUAUGCAUCAAUGUACCUUCACCUAUCUGACUGGUAGACCAGGAUAAGCAGACAACACUACAGUACAUUGACUGUCAGUAUAAGCACUACUUAAGAGUCCUUGGAAAAAUCCAAGACCUAAUCCUUCUAAGAGAAAAGUCGUAGCUGUCUGUGAUUCUAAGGAUGGAGGACAAACACUGAAAACCUUCUCUACCUCAGAAAAUCCAACAACUAAGUUCUAUCAAACUUACUGAAAAAAAGAAAUUGUUAUUAUUCACUCAAUUUGGGUGGAGGUGGGUUUGAAACCAAUUUCCUGCUUCCCAGAAAGCAAUUGAAGACACCCACCAGAAACAGAAACAUCUCCUCCAGCUGUAUUUCAGAGACGUAACAGCAACUCCCUCUCUGUGUUUCAUUAGUGUGUUGAUAAUUUCUAAUCAAUGCUCAUGAAUGAAGAUUAUUUUUGUAAUUAUGAUUAGAGUAAGU
rnacentral:lncRNA from 1 species